UGGGGAGUACGGCCGCAAGGUUAAAACUCAAAUGAAUUGACGGGGGCCCGCACAAGCGGUGGAGCAUGUGGUUUAAUUCGAUGCAACGCGAAGAACCUUACCUACUCUUGACAUCCAGAGAAUUUAGCAGAGAUGCUUUAGUGCCUUCGGGAACUCUGAGACAGGUGCUGCAUGGCUGUCGUCAGCUCGUGUUGUGAAAUGUUGGGUUAAGUCCCGCAACGAGCGCAACCCUUAUCCUUUGUUGCCAGCGAUUCGGUCGGGAACUCAAAGGAGACUGCCGGUGAUAAACCGGAGGAAGGUGGGGAUGACGUCAAGUCAUCAUGGCCCUUACGAGUAGGGCUACACACGUGCUACAAUGGCGUAUACAAAGAGAAGCGACCUCGCGAGAGCAAGCGGAACUCAUAAAGUACGUCGUAGUCCGGAUUGGAGUCUGCAACUCGACUCCAUGAAGUCGGAAUCGCUAGUAAUCGUAGAUCAGAAUGCUACGGUGAAUACGUUCCCGGGCCUUGUACACACCGCCCGUCACACCAUGGGAGUGGGUUGCAAAAGAAGUAGGUAGCUUAACCUUCGGGAGGGCGCUUACCACUUUGUGAUUCAUGUCUGGGGUGAAGUCGUA
rnacentral:rRNA from 1 species